UACGAAGGGGGCUAGCGUUGUUCGGAUUUACUGGGCGUAAAGCGCACGUAGGCGGUUUGUUAAGUCAGAGGUGAAAUCCCGGAGCUCAACUCCGGAACUGCCUUCGAUACUGGCAAGCUAGAGUCCGGAAGAGGUAAGUGGAACUCCUAGUGUAGAGGUGGAAUUCGUAGAUAUUAGGAAGAACACCAGUGGCGAAGGCGGCUUACUGGUCCGGAACUGACGCUGAGGUGCGAAAGCGUGGGGAGCAAACAGG
rnacentral:rRNA from 1 species